AGUGGUACGUGAGCUGGGUUCAGAACGUCGCGAGACAGUUCGGUCCCUAUCUGGUGUGGGCGCAGCAAAAUUGAAGGAAUCUGUCCUUAGUACGAGAGGACCGGGAUGGAUUGACCUCUAGUGUACGAGUUAUCGCGCCAGCGGUAGCGCUCGGUAGCUAUGUCAAGCAUGGAUAAACGCUGAAUGCAUCUAAGCGUGAAGCCAGACCUAAGAUUAAUUCUGCCAGUGAGACUCGUGGAAGACCACCACGUAAUAGGUUGGAAAUGUAAGUGUAGUAAUAUAUUUAGUUGACCAAUACUAAUUGUCCCAAGGCUUGACCAUAAAA
rnacentral:rRNA from 1 species